GAUGAACGCUGGCGGCGCGCCUAAUACAUGCAAGUCGAGCGAACAGACGAGGAGCUUGCUCCUCUGACGUUAGCGGCGGACGGGUGAGUAACACGUGGAUAACCUACCUAUAAGACUGGGAUAACUUCGGGAAACCGGAGCUAAUACCGGAUAAUAUAUUGAACCGCAUGGUUCAAUAGUGAAAGACGGUUUUGCUGUCACUUAUAGAUGGAUCCGCGCCGCAUUAGCUAGUUGGUAAGGUAACGGCUUACCAAGGCAACGAUGCGUAGCCGACCUGAGAGGGUGAUCGGCCACACUGGAACUGAGACACGGUCCAGACUCCUACGGGAGGCAGCAGUAGGGAAUCUUCCGCAAUGGGCGAAAGCCUGACGGAGCAACGCCGCGCGAGUGAUGAAGGUCUUCGGAUCGUAAAACUCUGUUAUUAGGGAAGAACAAAUGUGUAAGUAACUAUGCACGUCUUGACGGUACCUAAUCAGAAAGCCACGGCUAACUACGUG
rnacentral:rRNA from 1 species